CACUCCUGUCAAUCUCUUUUCUCUAGAAGAAACAAGUGCCCCUGUUGCAUCGAAUUAUCAAGAUGGACAAGUACACGACCCGCAUCAGUGCUCUACUUCUCCUCGUGUGCCUUGCUACUACUACACAAUGUCGAGUCAUUGAUGGCAUCGAUAAGGAGAAGAUAAAUGUAUCAUUGUGUGUUUACAAAGAAAGCCUUGAUGACUACUGUUGCAAAGUGACGAAUCAGUGUUACAUAACAAUCGAGGCAUGCCUUAAGGAGUGCAAAGGGGCUGCAGGCAUGGCGGCAAUGCCAACCCCUCCUUUAGCUACCCCGUCUCCAUUCCUGUCAAAUUGAAUUUUUGAUUGAUGAAAUAAUGUGUGAUGUGUGGAAAAAAAUA